rnacentral:rRNA from 1 species
UACGUAGGGGGCGAGCGUUGUCCGGAAUGAUUGGGCGUAAAGGGCGCGUAGGCGGCCUGCUAAGUCUGGAGUGAAAGUCCUGCUUUCAAGGUGGGAAGUGCUUUGGAUACUGGCGGGCUGGAGUGCAGGAGAGGAAAGCGGAAUUACCGGUGUAGCGGUGAAAUGCGUAGAGAUCGGUAGGAACACCAGUGGCGAAGGCGGCUUUCUGGACUGAAACUGACGCUGAGGCGCGAAAGCGUGGGGAGCAAAC